AAGAAUUGCUUCCUGUUGCCAAUGAGGUGUGUGGCCUCACAUUAUUAUCGAUUUGUUUUGGAGGGCCUGCAGCUGGAGCCAAGGGGAAUAAAGAAAGAAAGGAAAUAAAAUGCUCCUUCUCUGCUGCGGAGUGAUUGUUUAUAAGCAGCACCAAUUUCCACAUCCAGACCAGCGGUUUUCGAACGACCUUGUUCCAGAAACUGGCCGGAAUUGAUAAGCCGCCAUGGUGUGGUGUCACAGAAAGCACUCCACGGGCUCAAGUGACGCAGCAAAGAAGCAACGUCAUUUCAGCCAAUCAACAACCAAGCCUAUUUACCAUCAAAAAACAAGCUCACCAAGAAAGCAGCCUUUGUGUGCCAAAAACAUCUCAACAACAGAGCAGCCUUCGAGAGCAUUUUACUGGCGUUAUCAAGCAGGCACCUUCCUUCACCAGUGUUUUUAGGCU